rnacentral:rRNA from 1 species
AUUGAACGCUGGCGGCAGGCCUAACACAUGCAAGUCGAACGAGUGGCGGACGGGCGAGUCAUGUCUGGGAAACUGCCUGAUGGAGGGGGAUAACUACUGGAAACGGUAGCUAAUACCGCAUACCAUCAGAUGUGCCCAGCUGGGAUUAGCUGGUUGGUGUGGUAACGGCUCACCAAGGCGACGAUCACUAGCUGGGCCGAGAGGAUGACCGGCCACACGGGAACGGAGAAAGGGUCCAGACUCCUACGUGAGGCAGCAGUGGGGAAUAUGGCGCAAUGGGGGCAAGCCGGAGGCAGCCAGGCCGCGUGUAUGAAGAAGGCCUUCGGUUUGUAAAGUACUUUCAGCGGGGAGUCGUUACCCGCAGAAGAAGCACCGGCUAACUCCGUGCCAGCAGCCGCGGUAAUUC